rnacentral:lncRNA from 1 species
AAGCUGCUCUGCUGCAGAAACGUAGUAUACCAGACAUACUGUCUGUUAUUAAAUGGCUUCUUAAUAUUGGAAGGAGCAUCAGCUUGAUUUUGUGUUCUGCUAGAUUGGUAUAAUUCAAGUGAAUUGUUAUACUUGUAUUAUACCAGUGAAGUGCGCUGACAGGAGAUUCAAGUCAUGAAAUUAUAGAAAGGCAAAAUAUACUGUGUAAUAAGCAGGAACCAUGUUCUGGAGUAGGGAGAGGGAAGCUAUGACAUAUCAGAAAAAAACAAAACAAAACAAAACAAAAACAUAUAAAAUGAAGCCUUCAGAACCGGAGGAAGAGAGAUCAAGAGUGGAGUCCUUACUCAGCUUAUAUUUUGCCCUUAUUCUUACAACACUUCUGCUGACUCUGAACUGA